CCUCCCCACCUCUACCUUCACACUUCGUCGAGUUCCUUUUGACCCUUCAAACUUCAUCAAUUAUACCUCAACGACAAAAAAAACGUAUCAUUCCCUUCGGACCGAAAUUCCUGCCCUCCAUGAUCAGAAUUCUGGUAGAUUCCUCACUCUACUAAUAUUUCCCGUAGGUGAGGAACAUUGAACGACAUUUUUUGGGAGGGCAAGAUGAUCCAGUGUUUCAUGGGUUUAAGCCUGGUUUAAGCCUGGUUUAAGGGCUUUAACCGACAAGAGAGAAUCCGGCUUAAUCCAACCUAAAGUUAAUCCACAGAAGAAGAUAAGCGAAUUAGGUGACAAAACGUGACCGCCAAUGCCUACAAAAUGCAAAGCAAAGAUUCGGAAUUCUCGCUCGCAUAUUUGGGCGGUGCUAAAUACUCGGGAGGCUCACCCAAAGGACUCUCCACUUGUCGUUUACGAUACAUGGACAGAGCGUCAGCUCAGUUGAAAGGCAAGCACUGUAAUGAGGGCACAUAAUUAACGAGUCCUCAGUGCAACCAGAUACUUUCAAAGCACAGCCAUGAAUCGGUUGAUCGGAGGAGGAAGAGGAGAAGAAGAAGGAGGCCCUGAACUUGUUUCGAUUUUGGUGCCCCGAACCGCCGCCGGCUCAUCCAAAGAAUCAUUCAUUCAUCAUUCCAUUCCAAAGAGACACAGUCAGUACUAGUCCUCAGCAUGCCCCUUCCAAAGGGGUUCUGGUUCUGGUUCGCGUCGACGGAGGGAAAGUGAGAUGAGCGGGACAGAAUGAAUAUGUUGAAAUGCUUGUCGGCAGACACGGACAGAUAGAUCCCAUCCAAAUCGGGUCCCGAUUCCACGUGUUUCUGUUUUGUUUCUGUUUGAAUUGUUGGUUGGUAUCCUCACCAGGAUUUGGCGCCACAAAUCUUGCGGAUCUGUUCGAAAGAGAC